rnacentral:rRNA from 1 species
GCGUUAGUUCGCUUCGUGGAUCGAUAGAACCAUCUUCGCGUGGGGAUCUAGUAGGCGAACGGGUGAGUAACACGUGGGCAAUCUGCCCUGCACUCUGGGACAAGCCCUGGAAACGGGGUCUAAUACCGGAUACUGAGCCACUUGGGCAUCCAAGUGGUUCGAAAGCUCCGGCGGUGCAGGAUGAGCCCGCGGCCUAUCAGCUUGUUGGUGAGGUAAUGGCUCACCAAGGCGACGACGGGUAGCCGGCCUGAGAGGGCGACCGGCCACACUGGGACUGAGACACGGCCCAGACUCCUACGGGAGGCGGCAGUGGGGAAUAUUGCACAAUGGGCGAAAGCCUGAUGCGCGACGCCGCGUGAGGGAUGAAGGCCUUCGGUUUGUAAUCCUCUUUCUACAUUGAAUAAGCGAGGGUGACGUUACCUGCGAAAUAAGCUUCUGCUAGCUACGUGCCAACUACCACGGUCUCCGAUUAGGGCUGGGG